AAGGGAAAGAAAGAAUUGAAAAUCAUGAUCAGGAAAGUGGAUGACAUCGGCAGUGUAAAACAGUAAUGAAAAUUGUUAGUACUAUCCCCCCACAGCGGUGGCAACCAAAAACGUCUCCACACUGCGAAAUAUCCCGGAGGAGGCAAUCUUGCCACCUGUUAAGAACCACAGACUCUAACGAAAUGAGAGAAGAAUUGAUUGGAUGCCGGCUUAGGCCCGGAAGUUAGGAUUCUCCUGGGCUGCGCGAGCGAUGCUCCCCAAGGUCUUCCCGCAGGGACUGCUGUGGGCGAGGAUCUUCCCUAAUUGUUUCCUGCCUCUUUCUUCUCUUCCUGCUUGUCACUGGCCCACACACUCAUCCUACGAAAAGGAAUGCUUUCUUUUUGCUUCUCAUGAGACCACUAUCAAAGCAACCAUCUGGGAGCCUAAUAUAUACACUAAGAAGUGUUUUAUAAUGCAGUGAUACAUUAAAUCUGAAUGUAAACACUCAGGAAUCAUUAUCUCUGACUUUGUUGUACAGAUAAAUGUUCACAGUGGCCCUUGAUGUUGACCUCCUUGUUUAUAGGACCAUUUAUAUGCCAAGUACUUUCAUCCUUACAAAAUUCUGAAUGACAAUUUUUAUUUUUCACAUUAGCAUCCAGGGUUGAAUUGUGGCCUCUUAUUCAUGUGUUGAAGUCCUAACCACAGUACUUCAGGAUGUGACUUAAUUUGGAAACAAGGUCAUCGCAGAUGUAAUUGGUUAAGAUAAGGCGAUUUGGAGGAAGGUGGCCGUUAUCCAAUAUGAUUGCUCUUCGUACAGAAAGGGGAAACUUGAAUGCAGAAACACACAGAGGGACAGCCCUAUGUAAAGAUGAAGGCAGAUAUCAGGAUGAUGCAUUUACGAGCCAACAGAUACCCAAAGCUGCCAAAAAAUCACCAGAAACAUGGAACCAUGGGGGACCGACAUGGAACUGAUUUGCUCUCAGAAGAAACUGACAUCUUGAUCUUGGACUUCUAGCUUCCAGAGCUGUGAGACAACAAAAUGUUGUUAUUCCAAAUCAUCCAUGUAUGAUGCUUCGUGAUGGAAGCCACAGGAAACC